AGCUAGCCUCUUUGUAGAAAAUAUAAUAGCGAAGGAGGUUAAUGCUUGUACCUUAAUUGCCUUUUGCUCUUCAUGCUUGCUAAGGCUUUUCCCUUGAAGCUGGUCUAGUAAGCUUAAGCGCAAU